GGCGGCAGGCUUAACACAUGCAAGUCGAGCGGUAGCAGAUCUAGCUUGCUAGAUGCUGACGAGCGGCGGACGGGUGAGUAACGCGUAGGAACCUGCCCAGUAGUGGGGGAUAGCCCGGGGAAACUCGGAUUAAUACCGCAUACGCUCUACGGAGGAAAAGAGGGGGCUUCGGGCUCUCGCUAUUGGAUGGGCCUGCGUGAGAUUAGCUAGUUGGUGAGGUAAUGGCUCACCAAGGCGACGAUCUCUAGCUGGUCUGAGAGGAUGAUCAGCCACACUGGGACUGAGACACGGCCCAGACUCCUACGGGAGGCAGCAGUGGGGAAUAUUGCACAAUGGGCGCAAGCCUGAUGCAGCCAUGCCGCGUGUGUGAAGAAGGCUUUCGGGUUGUAAAGCACUUUCAGUGGGGAGGAAGGCCUCGUAGUUAAUAGCUGCGAGGAUUGACGUUACCCACAGAAGAAGCACCGGCUAACUCCGUG
rnacentral:rRNA from 1 species